rnacentral:rRNA from 1 species
UACGUAGGGUGCAAGCGUUAAUCGGAAUUACUGGGCGUAAAGCGUGCGCAGGCGGUGAUGUAAGACAGGUGUGAAAUCCCCGGGCUUAACCUGGGAACUGCAUUUGUGACUGCAUCGCUGGAGUGCGGCAGAGGGGGAUGGAAUUCCGCGUGUAGCAGUGAAAUGCGUAGAUAUGCGGAGGAACACCGAUGGCGAAGGCAAUCCCCUGGGCCUGCACUGACGCUGAGGUGCGAAAGCGUGGGGAGCAAACAGG